GACGAACGCUGGCGGCGUGCUUAACACAUGCAAGUCGAACGGAAAGGCCCUGCUUUUGUGGGGUGCUCGAGUGGCGAACGGGUGAGUAACACGUGAGUAACCUGCCCUUGACUUUGGGAUAACUUCAGGAAACUGGGGCUAAUACCGGAUAGGAGCUCCUGCUGCAUGGUGGGGGUUGGAAAGUUUCGGCGGUUGGGGAUGGACUCGCGGCUUAUCAGCUUGUUGGUGGGGUAGUGGCUUACCAAGGCUUUGACGGGUAGCCGGCCUGAGAGGGUGACCGGGGACAUUGGGCCUGCGAUAGGGCGCAGACUCCUACGGGAGGCAGCAGUGGGGAAUAUGGCAGAAUGGGCGGACGCCUGAUGCAGCAACGCCGCGUGCGGGAUGACGGCCUUCGGGUUGUAAACCGCUUUCGCCUGUGACGAAGCGUGGGUGACGGUAAUGAGUAAAGAAGCACCGGCUAACUACGUG
rnacentral:rRNA from 1 species